rnacentral:misc_RNA from 1 species
GAUGAAGAACGUAGCGAAAUGCGAUAAGUAAUGUGAAUUGCAGAAUUCAGUGAAUCAUCGAAUCUUUGAACGCACCUUGCACCCUUUGGCAUUCCGAAGGGUAUGCUCGUUUGAGUGUCAUUGUACUCUCACACUCUCCGAUCCUAUGGAUUCGGGGAGCGGUGGACUUGGGUGUUGCUGCCUUUCCCUGUGGCUCACCUCAAAUGCGUCAGUGCACCUCUUGGUUGGACAUAGUACGGCGUGAUAAGUGUCUUCGCCGGCACCUCGCAAGAGGGUGGCCGAUCGGGAGCUCUGUGCUUUCCAACUGUCUUCAGACAACAACUGACAACUUGACCUCAAAUCGAGUAGGACCACCCGCUGAACUUAAGCAUAUCAAUAAGCGGAGGA